rnacentral:lncRNA from 1 species
AUGACAGCCAGAGUAGUCUUAAAUGACCUUGUGCUGUGCACGAAGGUGGUAUGCAAUCAGAAGACGUCUGAGACAAGUAUGCAUCUCCCACCACAACAUUAUAUGAUGCUUGGAGUAAAAACAGUCAUCCCUGUUCCUACCUACAAUUGUAUUAUUCAAUCAAAAUUGCUGCCAGACAUGGUGGCUCAUACCUGUAGUCCCAGCACUUUGGGAGGCCGAGGCCGGGCAGAUCGCUUGAGACCAGGAUUUGAGACUAGCCUGGACAACAUGUUGGGGUCUGUUGCAGGUAAUUGGAUCAUGGGAGUGGAUCCUUCAUGAAUGGUUUAGCACCACCCCUUUGGUGCUGUCUCCUGAUAGUGUUCUCAUGAGGUCUUCCUCCUGCUGCCACCAUGUAAGACACACCAGCUUCCCCUCACUUUCCACCAUGAUUGUAAGUUGCCUGGGGCCUCCCUGGAAGAAGCCACUAUGCUUCCUGUAAAGCCUGCAUAACCAUGAGCCGAU